UACGUGGCAUGGUUUCCUGUUUCCAAGGGAGGUGGCACGGCUGCAUUCUGGUGCUAUUGUUGUUCAAUAUUGGCAUUCAUUGGCCAGUGGAUAAGCUUGAAGAGGCAGCUGUUGGUGGAACACCAAUCUGGUCAGGCAAGACGCAGUGCACAUUGGUCUGAUUAUUAAUCUGACCAAAACUAAGUCCCUAGCCAUUGCCAUCUAGGAGCCUCUAACAUCAGAUUACAGCCCGCUCAGUAUUAACCUGCCUGGAUGGAAUAUUGAGCAGAUGACAACUGUCAAACACUUGGAUGUUUGAAAGAGGUGGAUGCUUGUUUAGCAGCAGCCAUCCCCAUGUUAUAGGUCAUUCAGUGGCCUCUAUGGAGAUGUUGGGAUAUCAAGCUUACUAUACCUGCACACAUAUAGAGCUACAGUUAUACCAACUCUACUGUAUGGCAGUGAAAUGCGGGCUCUGAGGCAGCUGAAGUGUGACAGAUUGAUGUUUGCAAUUCUCAUCUUUGUCAGUUGCUCCAUAUUAAGUGGCAGGACAAGAUCAGCAGUUCAGAAAGACACUGCAGCACAUCAGCAAUUUUUGAAGCCGCUCCAGCAGCCUCUCGACCCUGGAGAAACAAGGAUAAAGAGGAAAAAGGAACUUUUUUAAUGCAUUUUUUCCUGGAACAUGGAAGUGUGCAUUUCCACAAUAUGGGCAUGAUGUCAAAAUGUAGUGACAGUGUGCAUGCAUCCAAGAAAAGAAGCCUACAAGCAGUGAGAGGGG